rnacentral:rRNA from 1 species
AAAUGAAUAGACGGGCACCCGCACAAGCGGUGGAGCAUGCUGUUUAAUUCGAUGCUACGCGAAAAACCUUACCUAGGCUUGACAUCCCUGGCGAAGCUAUAGAGAUAUAGUGGAGAUUAUCCAGGUGACAGGUGGUGCACGGUUGUCGUCAGCUCGUGUCGUGAGAUGUUCGGUUAAGUCCGAUAACGAGCGCAACCCUCGUCACUAGUUGCUAACAUUAGGUUGAGUUCUUUAGUGAGACUGCCGGUGAUAAACCGGAGGAAGGUGGGGAUGACGUCAAAUCAUCAUGCCCCUUACGUCUAGGGCUACAGGCGUGCUACAAUGGCCGUUACAAUGAGAUGCAAUAUCGUGAGGUAGAGCAAAUCUUAAAAGACGGUCUCAGUUCGGAUUGGAGUCUGCAACUCGACUCCAUGAAGCAGGAAUCGCUAGUAAUCCUAAAUCAGAAUGUUAGGGUGAAUACGUUCCCGGGUGUUGUACACACCGCCCGU